AUUGAACGCUGGCGGCAGGCCUAACACAUGCAAGUCGAACGAAGUCUUCGGACUUAGUGGCGGACGGGUGAGUAACACGUGGGAACGUGCCUUUAGGUUCGGAAUAACUCAGGGAAACUUGUGCUAAUACCGAAUGUGCCCUUCGGGGGAAAGAUUUAUCGCCUUUAGAGCGGCCCGCGUCUGAUUAGCUAGUUGGUGAGGUAAAGGCUCACCAAGGCUACGAUCAGUAGCUGGGCUGAGAGGAUGACCCGCCACAUUGGGACUGAGACACGGCCCAAACUCCUACGGGAGGCAGCAGUGGGGAAUCUUGCGCAAUGGGCGAAAGCCUGACGCAGCCAUGCCGCGUGGAUGAUGAAGGUCUUAGGAUUGUAAAAUCCUUUCACCGGUGAAGGUAAUGACUGUAGCCGGAGAAGAAGCCCCGGCUAACUUCGUGCCAGCAGCCGCCGUAAGAC
rnacentral:rRNA from 1 species